rnacentral:rRNA from 1 species
AGUGAACGCUGGCGGUAGGCCUAACACAUGCAAGUCGAACGGCAGCACAGUAAGAGCUUGCUCUUACGGGUGGCGAGUGGCGGACGGGUGAGGAAUACAUCGGAAUCUACUUUUUCGUGGGGGAUAACGUAGGGAAACUUACGCUAAUACCGCAUACGACCUACGGGUGAAAGCAUGGGAUCUUCGGACCUUGCGCGAUUGAAUGAGCCGCUGUCGGAUUAGCUAGUUGGCGGGGUAAUGGCCCACCAAGGCGACGAUCCGUAGCUGGUCUGAGAGGAUGAUCAGCCACACUGGAACUGAGACACGGUCCAGACGCCUACGGGAGGCAGCAGUGGGGAAUAUUGGACAAUGGGCGCAAGCCUGAUCCAGCCAUACCGCGUGGGUGAAGAAGGCUUUCGGGUUGUAAAGACCUUUUGUUGGGAAAGAAAAGCAGCAGGUUAAUACCCCGCUGUUCUGACGGUACCCAAAGAAUAAGCACCGGCUAACUUCGUG